UUCUUCUUCGGAGUUUCCAACGUGUCACCCGUUCGUUUUCUUCCUUUCGAAUCGAAAAGAGAGAGAGAGAAGAGAGAGAGAGAAGAAGAAGAAGAGAGAGGGGAGAAGCCCACUACCUGCGCCGCUACUUUUCCUCUCUUUCUUCUUCGAAGUUCUGAGG
rnacentral:ribozyme from 1 species